AUUGUUUCGGUAGUGUUUCCAGUAGGCAUAGCAGAUGCAGAGCAUUGGCCUGGAAUUGUAGUAGUCAUCCCUGUGAUGACAGAGGGCUGAGAUGUGGCCAGAGAUAGAGAGAGUUCAUUACUGAAUUCUGAAGAACCAAUUUUUCAGUGGAAACAAAACCAGACAAGACACCAUUUGAGGAAUACAUUUGAUGAGGAACCGAAAUGGCUAAGUUGUUGAGAUUUUCUUGAAGGCCAUGAUUAUGGCCAGUGCUAUUAUUACAUAUGGCACUUGAACUAUUGCCAACCCCACCAAGUGAGGAGGCCUCAUCUGAGUCAUCUCUUGUGUAAUACUGAAGAUCAUAUAGAUAAGACUGAAGAUCAAGGGAGGAGGAGUUUAUGGCUGAAGAAUGAGGUGAAAUCCCAUCUGUGAGCAGAGAGUUUCGGCUUGUCAUGAUCAUUUGCUGUGGUAUAUUAAAGGUUUGAUUAUUAUUACUCUCCAUAUCAGAAAGGAAAAAAAAAAACUCAGCCUUGAAACACUGUCAUUGAAUCAAACCCUUCACUCAAAACAAACAAAGUUGUUCACUUUUGACAUAUAUACACCUGAAAAAGAAGUUGAAAUGGUCAGAAUCAUCAUGAACUAAGUGUUUUCAGGUAAAACCAAAGAAGAAGAGGAAGAAUGAUAGGCUCACUCACCUUUGUGUUUAUAGAAGAAUCAAACUGAGCUGACCCCCACAAAGGCAAAAAAUGAUGAUGGAGAUGGAGAGAGUUGGGAAUGUUCAAUGAAGGGAAGAUUCAUGGGAUUGUCCCAAAUCAGACCCUUGGAAAAUUUCCAAUCUUUCAAAAGAUAAAGUGUUCUGUUUUUUGAGAUACUACAGAUUGACAACACAGUCAUAUAAUAAUAGAUAUAAUGUAUUUUGCUUUC